UAGUUCCCCUUUAUCUGCUGAUUCCCUUGACGCAGUUUCAAUGACCCGAGAUCAACCGCGGUCUGAAAGCGGAAGACCCUCCGUCUGACGAAUCCUCAGAAGGUGAAUAGUAACCUAACUUUACGCAGCAAAGGCCUACGUCACUCGCCUCACUUCCUCUCCUCAGUCGUGGGCGUUUUGUCGUUCGCAUCCUCACAAGGAUUAAGAAAAGGGUUAAAUUUAUUUGAAUCGAGCCCAAGUCCUUCUGGCUCCAAAAUUCAAGGCCUUUCACCAAAGAAACCCAAAAACCUGGCUGACUUGAACUAGCUGGUUACCCCUGUGAGUGGCCACAACCUACUCGUCCUCACUACCUGAAUUUCUGAAUAAUACUCAUCUGGGAAUCCAGGGAUGACCCUCUCAAGGUAAGCUCCAUGACCAGUGUGGGGCUCGAACUCACAAUCCCGAGAUCAAGAGUCACAUUCUCUACCAACCGAGCCAGCCAGGACAAAUUAUGCCCUGUUAAAAGUAUCAAGAUUGGUUUCUAAGGAGGAAGGGAAAAAAUGGAUGUUGGAGGGAGCAGGUGACAGUCUCUGCGACACUGGUGUUUCAAUAAUUUCAUGGAUGGAGUCUAACGUGCACCCAAAGUUGUUAUAAAUCAAGGAUGGGAGUUACCACUGUAUACACCACUGCAGUCGUUAAAUGGAGUGAAAAUGUGAUGCUUGAGUCAAGCCCUGCCUUUGAUUAUUACCUUGCGACACAGAAAAAGCAGCGAUAAAACACUUUAAUUGAUGACACCUCCAUGGUAUUUGUUACACCUGCUAUAAAAUAAUUAGUUAUUCAACUAUAAUAACUGCUUAUUAAAGUGAAAUGCAAUAAAUACUAGAAAAUCUGUAAGACAAUUUAGCUACUUAGGAAAGCUAUGGUCUGUUAAGCUACCAAGAGCAAAGAUCUGUCUCUGUUUGUGAUCUGCAGUGUAGUCCCGUGUCAGUUUUUAAUACCCUGUGUUGUGAUACCCUCAGUUCAGUUAUUAGCAAACAGGUGUCCUCAUUAUACCAAAAGUGUAAAUGGCCAUAAACAACUCCCCAGACAGCAGAGAAGCCAAAGACUCCAUUCUCAUGGAGAAUCACUCUGUCGUGGAGAUGAUCACUCAGCCCCAGCCUGAGUGGGAAAGGUCUGCUUUCCUGUACGUAAUGCCUGCCUGGGGAACAGAUCUCACUUUGGAGACUUCCGUCAGCAUUAAGAUAAAUUCUGUGCACAAUGAAUAAUUCUAAGGCUCCCACCAGCGGCAUCGUCUGGCUGCCGCUGCUGAUGGUACUUAGCCGGC